GCUGGGCAUGGUGGCGUAUGCUUGUAAUCCCAGUGGCUCAGGAGGCUGAGGCAGGAGGAUGGCAAGUUCAAAGAAAGUCUCAGGGAUUUAGUGAGAACCUGUCUCAA
rnacentral:sRNA from 1 species